rnacentral:rRNA from 1 species
AUUGAACGCUGGCGGCAGGCCUAACACAUGCAAGUCGAGCGAGCGGCGGACGGGUGAGUAAUGUAUGGGGAUCUGCCUGAUCGAGGGGGAUAACUACUGGAAACGGUGGCUAAUACCGCAUACCAUCGGAUGAACCCAUAUGGGCUUAGCUAGUAGGUGGGGUAAAGGCUCACCUGGGCGACGAUCUCUAGCUGGUCUGAGAGGAUGAUCAGCCAAACUGAAACUGAGACACGGCCCAGAAUCCUACGGGAAGCAGCAGAGGGGAAUAUGGCACAAGGGGCACAAGCCUGAUGCAGCCAUGCCGCGUGUAUGAGAAAGGCAUUAAGGUUAUAAAGUACUUUAAGCGGGGAGGCGUUACCCGCAGAAGAAGCACCGGCGAACUCCGUGCCAGCAGCCGCGGUAAUAC